rnacentral:rRNA from 1 species
CUACGGGAGGCAGCAGUGGGGAAUAUUGGACAAUGGGCGAAAGCCUGAUCCAGCAAUGCCGCGUGAGUGAAUAAGGCCCUAGGGUUGUAAAACUCUUUCAAUAGGGAAGAUAAUGACGGUACCUAUAGAAGAAGCACCGGCUAACUCCGUGCCAGCAGCCGCGGUAAUACGGAGGGUGCUAGCGUUGUUCGGAAUUACUGGGCGUAAAGAGUGCGUAGGCGGUUUAGCAAGUUGGAAGUGAAAUCCCAGGGCUUAACCCUGGAACUGCUUUCAAAACUGCUAAGCUAGAGAAUGGUAGGGGAUAGUGGAAUUCCUAGUGUAGAGGUGAAAUUCGUAGAUAUUAGGAGGAACAUCGGAGGCGAAGGCGACUAUCUGGACCAUUUCUGACGCUAAGGCACGAAAGCGUGGGGAGCAAACAGGAUUAGAUACCCGGGUAGUC